AGUUAAUGAGCUUGAAUAAGCAUUUGUUUUGAAAACUUAAGAUAGAAAUAUAUUUUCUAUUAACUU
rnacentral:tRNA from 1 species